UGGGGCAGGGAGACUGGAGGAGCGGCGGGAGGAUACGGCCGAGUGGGGGAUGGGAGGCAGGGGCCGCCGGGUGCGACGGCGUGGAAGAGGAGGAGGGCGACUGGCCGGAGAUGUGGGCCGAGGCGCCGCCCAUUCCCACCAGUCUACCCCGCGCAGGCGCAGUCGAGGAAGUCAGGAUAGCUGUUCACCACUUCCAUUCAAUUCAAUCCAGGGUGGAUUCUUACAGCUGGUUGUAAGAAUCAAAAUCUUUGCUUGUGAUCCAAAAUUGCUUCGUUCAAAUUCAGUUCAGCAGUGCUGCAUUGAUGAAAGAUCGUGCCAUUUUGCUCUCCGGUCUUUGAAAGUUACAACACCACCUUCCGUAUGAUUUCUCACGCUACUUAACCUCUUUAACUUUUCACCACUUGAUUCAUGCUGUAUAUAUUCAGACACGUAAUUAGGUCAAAUAAUCCUUCUCGAGUCAACAUUUUGCCCUUGUGGAGAUCAAUUCUUCCACACCCCUCUCUAUCAGUCUUGGACCCCAGACCCCUCCAUGUUAGUGACCUGUCUGCCUCUUUUUGCCCCCACAGUCUUCGGCCACGUUAUCUUCUUCGGACGGGAUGCUACAGAUGCUUGAAUCCUAAUGGCGGAGAUGGUCAGUUCUGCAGUUGUCCAGGAGACAGUUAGCCAAAUCCUAUCUGGUCUGGUUCAAAAAUAUGAGGAGAAAGAGGAAUCAAAUGCGAACAGGAACUUGGAGAGGCUAGAGAUGGCGAACAUCAAGUUAGAGGCUGCUCUCGAAACAUCUGAAAAGUGGCAGAUCACUGAUGCAUCCUUGCUGCGUUGGCGCAGGAAGCUGAAGCGUGCUGCGCUUUUUUUCAGGAAAUAUUUUUGCAGGAAAGAAGCUACAACAUAAAAUUGAUCAGGGAAACGAGUGCACUUUUUUUCUACUGGUACCCUUCAGUACUGCAGAGCAUGGAAUAGAGGCUAGCCUAUUCUUUAUCCAGAAAGGUGGUAAUGCACCAAAAGAUAAUUUUUACUUUAGUGUCAUGCUACAACUUUCAGAGAGUACGGACAUACUUGGAAUUGCAAUUAAGUGUUUGCAGUUGUUUACCCCUCUUUUCAAGUCUACAGUUGAAAUUAUUAGGAACAAACUUAUCCAACUGCCUACACAAGACCUCUCAUGGGUGCCACAUGUUGAUUCCCGCCAGAAAGAACAUUGGGACAAUCUUCACAGCUUUCGCACUCAAUGGUUUCGCCCAAACCCAUUAUGUUGCAAGCAUCUUGAUCAGCAUGAGCUUCGUUGUAGUAGCAACAUAGACACAUCAAAAUUACCAGAUGUUUCUCUAGAACCAGUCAUUGAAGUGAAUUUGCAGUGCCAUGUCUCACUGUCAGGAGGCAAUAUUUCUGCGCAAGGUUCUAAACAUCUGAUAGCUGGACUCCUCUUUAUGCCCCAUGGCUCUUCAGAGGAUCUGCUGCCUGCAGAUAAAAGUUCUGCAAUAGCGGUGAUUGACGGUGAGGAGAAACGAUGCUUGCAUACAGUCAUUACCUUGGAACAGCUGGAAGAGAUCAUGCUACGAAAGGCAAUUGAUCACUUCCGCCAGAACGCCGAAGCGACAGUCUACCAGAUGCUUUGGAAGUCUAAACAUAAUACUGCAUACAUUCAGGUUGAGAAGGCAAGCACAAAGAUGCAAAGCACAGGAAAAUUGAUUCGGGGAGCUAGGAACGGAAAUAUGUCGCGACAAUAUGUUCAAGCAUGUGUGAUCCCUCACUUCCUCAACAUGUGGGUUGCACAGGCACCCAUCUGGCUGCAAGGUUCGAUUGUAAAGUGGGUUCAGAGAGAAGCGCCUGAAAUUCUAGAUCAUCAUGUAACAUGGAUCAAUGAUGGAAAGAGGGAGAAAUAGAAGAACGGAAAUGGAAUUUUCUAGGGAAUAAAUCGAAUAUCGGGAGUUACUCUUCGUAACUGAGGACAGACCAGUCAAAACAUGAAAGUACACACAGUCUCAGAGCUAAAAUUAGGACUAAAUGCUCCAAAUGCAGGGUCAAGACUCGAAACUCAAGAGGAGCAAUGCUGUCGUCACAAAGGUUGUCGAGUUGCUUAUUACUAACAAUCAGUGUUCUGUUGGUCCUAGCUAAUAAGAAUGUUCUACUCUAGGAACUUAUGUAAGUGCCGUGCUGUGCGUCACUCGUUUUGAGGUUCGAAAUGUACGUUUCAUAUGGUGUUGUUUGCUUCUCACCAGCCACCUCAUCACAUGCUGGGAACUACAUACAUCGAAGUGCAA